rnacentral:piRNA from 1 species
UCAUGGGAGAGGAAAAGACCCUCUGGUUGGCC